GUCUUGGUACUAGAUACCACAGCACACCUUUAGAGGUCUAGUGGAGUCCAUGCCAUUUUGACUGUGUAAGUAGGCACUUCUCAAAAACAGUGACUGUGUAAAGAG